UCUCCGUUGGUGAACCAGCGGAGGGAUCAUUACCGAGUUUACAACUCCCAAACCCAUGUGAACAUACCUAUUGUUGCUUCGGCGGGAUGCCCCCGGCGCCUCUGCGUGCCCGGGAGUCAGGCCCCCGCCGGAGGACCCAAACUCUUGUUUUUAUAUAGAACUUCUGAGUGGAUUAUUAUAAAUAAUUAAAACUUUCAACAACGGAUCUCUUGGCUCUG
rnacentral:misc_RNA from 1 species